AACGAACGCUGGCGGCAGGCUUAACACAUGCAAGUCGAGCGCCCCGCAAGGGGAGCGGCAGACGGGUGAGUAACGCGUGGGAAUCUACCUUUUGCUACGGAAUAACUCAGGGAAACUUGUGCUAAUACCGUAUGUGCCCUUCGGGGGAAAGAUUAUCGGCAAAGGAUGAGCCCGCGUUCGAUUAGGUAGUUGGUGGGGUAAUGGCCUACCAAGCCGACGAUCCAUAGCUGGUCUGAGAGGAUGAUCAGCCACAUUGGGACUGAGACACGGCCCAAACUCCUACGGGAGGCAGCAGUGGGGAAUAUUGGACAAUGGGCGCAAGCCUGAUCCAGCCAUGCCGCGUGAGUGAUGAAGGCCCUAGGGUUGUAAAGCUCUUUCACCGGUGAAGAUAAUGACGGUAACCGGAGAAGAAGCCCCGGCUAACUUCGUGCCAGCCGCCGCCGUAAAAC
rnacentral:rRNA from 1 species